UACGUAGGGUGCGAGCGUUAAUCGGAAUUACUGGGCGUAAAGCGCACGCAGGCGGUCUGUUAAGUCAGAUGUGAAAUCCCCGGGCUCAACCUGGGAACUGCAUUUGUGACUGCAUCGCUGGAGUGCGGCAGAGGGGGAUGGAAUUCCGCGUGUAGCAGUGAAAUGCGUAGAUAUGCGGAGGAACACCGAUGGCGAAGGCAAUCCCCUGGGCCUGCACUGACGCUCAUGCACGAAAGCGUGGGGAGCAAACAGG
rnacentral:rRNA from 1 species